CUUCCUCCCCACUAACAGCUGGUGUUAGAGAAUGGGGUUGAGUCAGUCUUGAAAAAACUAUAACAUUAUUUGAAUGAGGUGCUUAUAUACCGUACCAGGAUAGAGGACACAUUGACAUAGGAGAAGAGUGUCACGAGAUAAAUAUCGCCAA